UUGUUGUAGAAAACAUUUGUUGCUCACCAUAUUGAGUACCUUAAAUGCUUGUUUUACUUAAUCUAGAAUGCAAUAUUUGAUAUGUUGUAUCUGAGUAUAUGUAGGUUUGGUUUACAUAUGGUGUGUUGUAGAAUGUUGUAUCUUGUCACACGUGUUCACAUGAUCCACUUUUUUGCCUACUUUUGUAGCUUUGCUUGACUCGUAAUGUUUCUUUAGCAUACACUCAUACUGUGCAACCAUGUUCUACAUUUGGUCCUCUGUCAGAUUAGUAGUUUUCUCAUAAUUAGUUCAUUUCAUGAGAAAAAUCAUUUCAUUUAGAAGGCUUGAUGGUCAACAGAAUUGAAGAUCAGAUCUACCUUAAAUGUUUAGAUGUGAUUCGUUAAGCUAUAAAUAUCUUUAUAUGUAAAUAGAGCUUUUCUGCUAAAGGAGAUCAAGAAAGCCUUAAACGGACAUAUCCAUCCAGCCCUCUUAAGGAGAAAUACAUGUAAAUGAUUUCAUUUAAAUCAUCAAGUGUUAAAUUUUACCUUUGAUCUGUAUCAGUAUUUAAUCAACUUAAAAGAUGAACAUGCAUGCCUUUUUCAAGAAACCUGUCUUGUUUGAGACAAGGUUUGUGUUUUGUAUGAAUUUAACACAUUAAGGUUGACUCUUUUGCUUGCCAAAUUUUUAAAGGCAUUUGGUAUAUGAAAAACCUGACAUGUACGUAUUUCUAUGUGUCUGCAAUAAAAUACAAUAUUUUUAAUGGUAUGUGAUGUGAAAGAUAUACAUGUACCUGUGUGUAAUUUGAAUAGAUUUUCCAUAAAUUACUUACCUUAUGCAUUGUAGGAAUUUGCAAUUAAAUGAGUGCAAC
rnacentral:misc_RNA from 1 species